rnacentral:lncRNA from 1 species
CUCUGCUGGGCUUGCAGCCAGGCCACCUCCCUGGCCCGGACCCCUCAGGGCCUCUGGACAGGGGCUGCAGGCUGCCUCUGGACUCUGCUCCUGGACUGGCCUCUGCUGGACGGCGGCGCCCUGCACCUCAACAGCCAGCCACACCAGGCAUGGCCGUCACCUACAGGUGAAGCUACAAAUUUAACCUCAUAUAAGGGAAUAUAACCAUGGCCAAGGAGCGAGGCAAGGCUUUUUAAACAACAUGUCAACAGCACAAAUCAGAGGCAAGUGAGAACCAAGUUUUAAAAAGAUGAAUGUGGUAUAAUCAGCAUUAAAGUUUCCUGUUCGGUCUGGGACUCCUUGGACCAAGCAUUACUGGGAGGCAACCUGAAUGCCCUCGGUGUGAGCGUGGAAAGAUGGCAGCUUCAAGGCUGGGCUCCGCAGUGGGGCAGGCCCCGCCCUGGACGAGCACGCGGCCACACAGAGGGUCCUCUUGAGCACGGUGACUCCCGUACCCGUAACAGUCAGGCCGAUUCUUCAAGAAAACAUACAAACUAAAAGAUGUCAAACACAGCAAAUUGGCUGCCCAUGGAGAAGGGUGGGAACCAAGAGAGGCACUGGCAGGAAAGGGGACCAGUCGGAAUGGAGGUAAGUACGUGAGUGGAGAUUCCAGCAUCAUUUGAAGAUGACCAGGCAGCCCGCAGCAGUGGGGACCUCAGCGGCCCUCUGUGAACCCAGGGUCCCAAACACGCAUCGGGAGACCCAGCAGUGGAUCCUGACAGGUACAUCACACCUGGAGUGGGAAAUGCCUCUCUCUUCAAGAAGCCGUGAAACCUCUUCUUUAACUUGAACUUAUGUCAAAUCCCAAGAACACUUAGACCAUAUUCUCCAGCCAAAAUCCACAAAAGGAAGAAAAUAAUAGCAAUUGUAGAAGCAGAAACCCUAACAUCCUGAAUAACAAGUAAGCAAACAAAAUGCCUCUUGAACAAUUCUUGGGUCAAGUGGGACAACAGAGUCCAAAUUUCAGAACCACCACAAAUAACAAUUAUGGAAUAUGAUCUAUCAGAACCCGAACAAUGUGACUAAAACUGUCUCAGAGAAAAAUUCACAGCGAUAACAAUUACGUUAGCAACAACCAAAUACAAACAAGUAAAUUAUUCAUUCAACUGACAAAAUUAGACUCAAGAAAAUAAAAAGAACAGGAUAAAUGUAAGAACCAAGAAGAAGAAAAUAAGAUGGUAAAAGUGUGUGAUUUGAAGCAGGAGACUCAAAAGCGUGCUCGUGUGGUGGGCCUUUGAAAUUCACCAGUGAAUAAGCCUGUGUCUACCCUAAUUCAGGAACUGUGAGGACGGCAUGGACACACACGUGCACACGAGUCUAACGACAUGGGAAACAGUUACGACAGAAGCACACACAAGUGCAUAAUUUACAGAUUCCAUGCAAAUACUUUAAAUUCUAAAUAAUAUGGGUGAUUAUCCCAGGCAAAUAUGAAUUGCCCCAACUAACCAAAAGGAAACAGAAAAGUAAGCAGACUAUUAUUAACCGCAGAAGAAAUUGAGAAAUCUAUUAAAACCCAGCCCACUCACCUCCGAAAUUCUACGCCCAGAUAAAUCACAAAUUCACUAAUUCAAAAUGCUGGUGCACCAAUCUUUACAAUAUGAUUAAAAUUUCCUAUUCAUGAGCAUAAAGAAAGAAAACCCUGUGUUCUUCUUAGGAUUCCAGCAUAAUAUUUGCACCAAAACAUUGAAAAGUUGCACAUACACAUGAAAUGAAACAUACCAGCUAUGGUAAUAACGUCCUCACACAUUACUUCAUGUGGCAGAUUAAAGACUCACACGUGUAACGACCACCUCUCGGCUUCAGUUGAGGUUUCCAAGCACUUUAAAACAAGUUCAGUAUUAGGAAAUCUACCAAUAUAAUUCAAUGAAAUAAUACAUCACAAAACAACCACUUCACCAGGGCAGGAAAGGCAGACAGCGUGAGCCACAGAGCAGCCAGCCAUGACGGAACCAUGUGCCAUCACACUUCUGCCCCUGGGGGACCCCGGAACCCCAGAAAUCAACCCUAAACCAGGCCCACCCAUCCCAGCAGCACCCAGGGAGGCCUGGACGGUCACCAC